AGCAGGAGGAAGAGGAGAAAGGGGGAAGAGUUUGCCUUAUUUCAGAAGUGUCCAGAAGCCAGAGAAAUGGUGUUUGUUGUAGCGGAGGGGAGUCUGAGGCAUCCUCUCUGCCCACCACGUACGGAGCAUUGGGAGAGUAUACAGACCUCUCAACUUUCUCCACAUAUGUUUUGUAAUGGAUUUACCUCUAGCACCAUCAAUCUACACACAAUACCUAAUAAUGAUAUGGAAAUUAAAGACAAUGUACACAAAUAUUCAGACUCUUUGCCAUGACACUCCAUAUUGAACUCCAUUGCGUUCUUUGGUAGUUCUUGAUUUCUCUAGAACCAUGACUGGAGUCAACCUGUGUCAAAUUGUAGUUGAUUGGACAUCACAGUGCAUGUCACUGCAAAAAAAACAUGCCCCUGUCUCUUUCCUUAGACCUCCGGGAUAUAAUUGUGUUGAAACACAGACCUGGGGAAGAUUUUUUUAUUAUAAAGCAUAGAAAGUUCCUAGGAGUGCAGUGAGCAGAAGCACUCCUGAGUAAAAUGCAUAUGGCAUGCCACCUGAAGGACCUAAGAGCAUUAGGGAAAACAAUUAUAAAUGGUCCUGAUGAGACCAUAAUCUAACUAUUAGGCCUGAAUACCAAGAGCUACAUGUGGCAGAAACUACUUACUGCUCAUCACCUGGUUAAUACAUCCCUAUGGUGGUGGGAGCAACAUGCUAUGGGGAUGCUUCUCCGAGGCAGAGAGCGAAAGACUGGUCAGUACUGAGGGAAAGAUGAAAGGAGCAAAAUACAGAGGUCCUUAAAGAAAACCUGAUCCACAGGACCUCAGACUGGGGCGAAGAUUAAUCUGUUGGCAUGACAAUGCCACAAAGAACACUGCUAAGAGUGGGGUGGGUUUGGGGAGGUAUCCGAAUGUCCUUGGUUUGACCAGCCAAUGCCCAGACUUCAACCCUAUUUAACAUCUGUCGGGAGACCUGAAGAUCAUAGUUCACCGACACUCCCCAUUCCCAGCUGACAGAGCUUGAGGGGAUCUAGAUGAAAGAAUGGGAGAAAUUGCCCAAAUGUUUAAAGCUGGUGGAGGCCUAAAAAGACUCAACGGUGUGAUCGCAAAAGCUCUUCUACAAAGUACUGAUUAAAGGGUCUGAAUACUUAUAUAAAUGAGAGAUUUCAAUAAAUAGGUACACAUUUCUAAAAAUGUGUUUGCUUUGUCAUUACAGGGUAUUAUUGUGUGUACAUUGAUCUCCGUCAAAAGGCACUGUACCUGUCGAGAGAGCGGUCUGUAUGGAGAUAGGGGUUUCUGAAGAUAUUGGCCCAGCGCAAAUCCUGUCAGUUAAGGACAGGACUGUGGGAUCAAGGAUAUCUUUGGACUUGAUUUGAAGGCACAUUGUAGCAUUGGUCUGAUUAGACAUAUGUGGCUGAGUGGAUCGAGAUAGCUAGGUGCCUGACUACGGGAGAGGUGGUGUGGUGAAACUGAUGAGCCACGUUGCCUGUGGUUUAGAGUCGCAUAUCUACUGACGCUAUCGGUUGAUUUUGUUUGCUGGUUGACCUUGUCAGAAAAUGCCAGGUGUGUUUGGAGAGAGUGAGCCAUCUUGAGAAUAACUCCAGACAGGAUACACAAGUAUUUAUGACAACCAAUUUCAUUGUUAUGACAGGUUCCACUAAUUUCCAAAUUCUUGAGUGUUUCCUACUAGACCUCAAAUUCUGAUAUUACGUAAGUCAAUUAUUUCCUCAUCCAGGAUGAUGACCCUCAAAGAUGUCCAAGCACAUCAUGGUUAGGGUCAGUACUCUUCAGAUUCAAUCAGUUUUGGAAAAUAAUAGACUUUAGAUUCCUAGGUAGGUUAUAAAAAGAAAUGCCAUCUUUUUCUAUGCAGUUUUUUCAAGUCGCGUUGAAUUUCAUUACCUUCUGAAAUGAUUAAAUUGAAGUGAAAUUGACCCUGACAUAUACCUUUUAUCUUAAGGGUAUCUGUUUGUUUACUCAAUAAUCACUAGUGACAGAAAAUGUUUGCAGAGGAUCAUAUUUGUUUUCCAACAUAAUGUUUUGUUUUUGGAAGUAUCUCUAAUGAAAAAAAAUAAUAAUUUUGUAUUCAUUCAUUAUGCCAGCUGGUCAACAAUUUAUUUUUACGUGGGAAUGCUUCCUUAUGUUUUCUCUUAUCAUUCAAAACUUUUCCUUUUGUCAUUUAAAAUUUUAAGUGGUGUGUAGUGGUGUUUAUCUGCACAUAUAAAACAAUUUUUUUUUGCGUGUAGUAUUUGGUUAAUAACAUUUGUUAGUAUAGACUAGAUGUGAACCAUUUGCCUCGACUCAAGAUUCAGAUACGUUCCAAUUUUGUCCCCCUCUAGUGCCAAACCUAUUGUCGCAUGGAACAUCCAAUCAAAACUAUUCUGAUUUGUCUUUUAUUUAAUUUGAUCAAUGAGAAAAGCAUUAUCGAUCAAAAUCUUUGGACUGACUUGGUCAGGUAGAUUGCUUUGUUCAUCCGAUUGUAACAGUAAACGUCUGAUAGUUGUCAUAUUUUACAUUUCAAUAUUGUGGUAGAAUAUGACGAUAGAGGCCUUAUGUCUUUCCUAGCUUGUCUUCUUGGAAUAUUGACUCUUUAGUUCUGUCAAAGGAUUUUACUUUUGGUAAAUGUAGUGUGUUGUACUUUUGCAUAUCAAAGUGUUUGUGAGGAUGUUCUGUUUUGGAAUUCUAAGCUGUAUUUUUGACUGACGUAAAUAAAACCAAUUCAUCCAAAGUCA